AUGAACGCUGGCGGCGUGCUUAACACAUGCAAGUCGCACGAGAAGUGAAGACGGAAACCUUCGGGCGGAAGGCUUUAUUUCGAGUGGCGGACGGGUGAGUAACGCGUGGGUAACCUGCCUCAUACAGGGGGAUAACAGUUGGAAACGACUGUUAAUACCGCAUAAGACCACAGCACCGCAUGGUGCGGGGGUAAAAACUCCGGUGGUAUGAGAUGGACCCGCGUUCGAUUAGCCAGUUGGCGGGGUAACGGCCCACCAAAGCGACGAUCGAUAGCCGAUCUGAGAGGAUGACCGGCCACAUUGGGACUGAGACACGGCCCAAACUCCUACGGGAGGCAGCAGUGGGGAAUAUUGCACAAUGGGGGAAACCCUGAUGCAGCGACGCCGCGUGAGUGAAGAAGUAUUUCGGUAUGUAAAGCUCUAUCAGCAGGGAAGAAAAUGACGGUACCUGAGUAAGAAGCCCCGGCUAACUACG
rnacentral:rRNA from 1 species